GCGGUUUCUGCUGAAUUCCCCUUCAAAUUAACGAUUUCCUGAUUUUCUUCUUUAAUUAGCAUUUUCUGUCGGUGCAAGAGGAAUGGGAGAGGGACUCCGGCCUAGUAUUCGGUCAGUACUGUCUCCCGAUCCCGAGGCAACGGGGAGAUUCCGGAGCGACUUGACAGAAUGGACAGACGAAAAGCACAGUCUGUAUAUUGAUUCUCUAGAGGCAUCAUUCGUUACCAAGCUGCAGCAAUCCAUGCAUAUGCAUGCUUGGCACUCCCAAGCAAACACCUGGGGAUCAUAUUCAGCUGAAGAACCUCGAUCCAAAAGUACUGGCAAUUCUUCUGACCUGGUUCGGAAGUGAAUGGUCGCAUAUGUUAAUAUAUCCAGUCUUUCCGUGUUGUUCUUGUCUUGUUCAAACUCCUGAUGCAGUAGUCUUAUUUACUGUUAUUAAUUUUCAGUUUGUGGUUCUACGAGAUGGCAGCUGGCAGAAGAUCAACUUUGAAAGAAAUGUUCCUUUGUUGGACAGCACUGCUUAUUCUCAGGUUGUUCUAAGAAGUCCAUGGAUACGCCAUUUUACAUCUUCAGGAAAGCGGCGCUGUGUAAGAUCUCCAAAUGUCCAAGAACACUGCGUUCUUUACGAUGAAGGAACUUACGUAAAAGGGCAUUUAUUCUGUGGAUCAUCGUGAUGUUUGGAGCAAAAUUUGGAAUUGGCAGCUGUACAGUUAAUUAAUUUGGAUUAGAUGUUUGCUUUUUUCUGCAUUACUCAUAGCUUACCUUGUAUUUAUACCGUAGUUUUUCUUUAUGGGUUUCAAUCCCAAAUGGCAAAUCUCAUUUAGAAUGUGUAUACACAUGCUACCCCCUCCUCUCCAACACACUCAAAUGUCGGUUUGAGUGUGGAUGCAAGCUUAUCCCAUCUGCACUUUGUGCUCAUCGAUCUAAUAUAAUGAUAGCAGUACAAUCAUCACAUAAAUAUACGUAUAGAAAGACUCCCUAAUUAAAACUUACACAAAGAACAUCGUAGUAAAUAGAAAAAUUUUAUAUACCAUAUUUUUAUUUCAUUUUAGUAAGAUGUGACACAUUUAUUAUUAUUAGAUGAUACCAUAAAUGUGUUAUAUCUUAUAUAACGGAAUGAUAUUUUGGUGUAUAUCAUUACUAAUUAACUGCAAUCAUCCCAACUACCAACAUAAAUAUAUCAAAAGACUUGACUUGGUAAAACAUAAUUGCUGAUAAUAUCAAAAAGAUGCAUCCUUUGUCACGAUAAUUGCUGAUUUCUCCACUUUGCUAAAAACAUAGAACUUGUCAGUAAAGACCAAAGGAUAAUACAGGUUAUAAUUUAUGGAAUUUUUCUGUUGUAUUAUGUAAAACGGUCACUUGUUUCAUUAAACAAUACUAAAGUUUGACAGCUUUAAAUGGCUUGUGAGAAUGAUUCAGUUGAGAUAGCCCUACAACAUCACUCUUUAAUUUUCAUAGCCAGAUAAUUGAGGACUCCAGAGUAUGUGAUCAUCGUAGAUACUCUCUUUUUGCUAGUUUUUUUUUUGUGUAAAUAUGUUUAUUCUUAUGAUAUUGCUUCAGAUAUAUGCUUCUUCUUAGGCAUUUUUCGGUUUCUUUGCAGAGGCUUCAGAUCAGAAUUUUGCGGAUGAAGACCAAGGAGAGAAGUCAAGCUGUGCAUCCAUGAUGAAGAGGUUGAAGAUAACUGCAGCUGAUGCUGUAAGCAAUGAUCGAGUUGUGCCCUGCAGAAAGGGAACUGUCAAUAAUGCGCUUCCUCAGAGAGGGAACAACAAGGACAUUGCGAACUGCAGUCACAGCACCCUUGAGAUCCUUGUCUGCCCACAAUCCGAUCUACAUCAUUUUCUUUGGUGACUAUUUCUUAUGGAUGGUUGGUGCUGGGGUUAGUGAAGUUCGUUAGCUAUUGGAGAGAGACUCUUCGUCUUACCUAUUCUUUCUCUGAGCCUCCUUUCUUUCCCUGUUCAUUUCCUCAAUUUAUUUCCGAGAGAAGUUCGAACUCCUAUUAGACCUAAAAAUCAGGAAAUGCAGUUGAUGCAUAUUGUAAAUGUAUUGAUUGAAAGGUUGAGAUCCUUAAUUCA